rnacentral:rRNA from 1 species
ACCAGCACGUUAUGGUGGGCACUCUAAGGAGACUGCCGGUGCAAACCGGAGGAAGUGGGGAUGACGUCAAGUCAUCAUGGCCCUUACGGCCUGGGCUACACACGUGCUACAAUGGUCGGUACAAAGGGUUGCCAAGCCGCGAGGUGGAGCUAAUCCCAUAAAACCGAUCGUAGUCCGGAUCGCAGUCUGCAACUCGACUGCGUGAAGUCGGAAUCGCUAGUAAUCGUGAAUCAGAAUGUCACGGUGAAUACGUUCCCGGGCCUU